CACCCCUGUUAACGCUAAUGUUCCCUGGCGAAUGUUUGCGGAAGUGGAAGCUUGAACAAAUAACAGUUCAAUUAAUAAUCUCUGUUGUAUGCGAGAUACACUCAACUUUUUCAAUGAUCUCGUUAUUUGCGUCGUUGGUUUACAAUGAAUGUGUCAAAAAUCAGCAACACACAUUGACGAGUAUUUAGUUAUUUGUUCUGCCCUCCCAAAACAACUGGAAACGCGUGAGCUGUCCUACUACGUCGUCGUCAGCUGAGACAGGCGACAUGGCGACUUCAGCGGGCUUCAAGGUUCUAUAUGAGCAUGAUGGAGUUUUUAUACACACCAACCCAGAAAGGAGUGAGGAGCAGGAUUCUCUGACUUCAGGAUCCCUGCGUGUCCUAGACCAGGAUGGAGACAUAGUGCUGGAAUAUAAACCCGUGGAAGAUGUUGACCACUCUGCCAUGCUGUGUGCUGCCAAGGAGUCUAGCUCUGUGUUUGAAUGGGGCCAGCGGCACCAGGGUCCGAGCCAAGACCCAGGAGACCAGCCUACCAGGCAGGUGGAGCACCAGCUGAGCUGUGAGACAGAAUGGGACAUGGUUCACACUGUUCAGUUCAGGAAGAAACCCAGCAACCAUGAAGGUGCUCCUCCUCAACCCGCUCCCAUCCCAGAGAAGAGUAAGGGUUCCCGGCUGUUCUUCCGUCUCAGUGACCUGGCCUCGGUCAGGGUGAAGGAGGAGGGCUGGUCCUACCUGGUGUUCACCCUCAGAGACCGCAACAUGGGGGUUGAGCUGCCUGCCCUACACUUUCACCAGGGAGGUAGUGAAGUCUUCCUGGACUGUCUCAGGAAAUACAUGCUGCUGACAGAGUCUACCACAGAUGCCUCCCUCCUCCAGGUCAGCCCCCACAGCAGAGCUCUGUCCCAGUCCUUUGAGAACCUGCUGGAUGAUGCCACCUUCGGACUUAUUACGAAGUUUUCUCAGGACCCAGUCACCACUACGCUGGGUGGUUUCUCCAAGGUGACCAACUACCUGUUUGAUGCGUUCCGGAGUCCAGACACGGUGCUACUGAAGCAGAGGCCUGUCGGGGAGGUGGCUGACCUGCUGAAUGAGGCCAUACCUGGUCUGGACAUCAACCAGCUGGAGGAACCAGGCUUUGAGGUUAUCACCAGGAUUGAUCUUGGCGUGCUGCCAGUGGUCCGGCGUAGGGAGCCUGUUGGGGCGGAGGAGUGGAACACCAACAUGGACCCUGAGGGACGCAUGAGGAACAUCUCACACCUCAAACAGACCAUAUUCAAAGGGGGUCUGUGUCAUGUGUUGAGGAAGGAGGGAUGGAAGUUUCUGCUGGGCUACUUCCCCUGGGAGAGCACCCUGGAGGAGAGGAGGAGUCUGACCAGGAGGAAAACGGAUGAGUACUUCCGUAUGAAGCUCCAGUGGAAGUCAGUGAGUGAGGAGCAGGAGAAACACAACAGCAUGUUUAGAGACCACAGGAGUCUAAUAGAGAAAGACGUGAACAGGACAGAUCGGACCAACACUUUCUAUGAAGGACAAGACAACCCAGGACUGAUUCUGCUGCACGAUGUCCUCAUGACCUACUGCAUGUAUGACUUUGACCUGGGCUAUGUCCAGGGUAUGAGUGACCUGCUGUCUCCGAUCCUCUAUGUGAUGGAGGACGAGGUGGACGCCUUCUGGUGCUUUGUCUCCUUCAUGGACCAGAUGCACCAGAACUUUGAGGAGCAGAUGCAGGGAAUGAAGACUCAACUGACCCAGCUCAGCACUCUGCUACGGCUACUGGACCUGUCCUUCUGGAACUACCUGGGUGAGGGGAACACACACACACACUGCUACGACUACUGGACCUGUCCUUCUGGAACUACCUGGGUGAGGGAAACACACACACACACACUGCUACGACUACUGGACCUGUCCUUCUGGAACCACCUGGGUGAGGGGAACACACACACACACACACUGCUACGACUACUGGUCCUGUCCUUCUGGAACUACCUGGGUGAGGGGAACACACACACACACACUGCUACGACUACUGGACCUGUCCUUCUGGAACUACCUGGUGGCCCAGGACUCUGGUCACCUGUACUUCUGCUUCCGCUGGCUCCUGAUUCGCUUCAAGAGAGAACUGAGUUUCCCUGAUGUCCUGCGUCUUUGGGAGGUAAUGUGGACCGGGCUGCCGUGCCAGAACUUCCACCUGCUGGUGUGCUGUGCCAUCCUGGACUCAGAGAAACACCAGAUUAUGGAGGAACAAUAUGGCUUCAAUGAGAUCCUCAAGCUCAUAAAUGAACUACCGAUGAAACUGGACAUCGUGGUCAUCCUCAACAAAGCUGAAGCUAUAUGCCUGCAGCUGAAGAGUUGUAAGGAUUUGCCCAACUCCGUGGUUGAGAUGCUUGGAUUCAACAGCACAGACACAGAGUCAUCAUCCCAGUCAGAGGACACUGAGAGAACGGACAGACCGGACUCUCCCGAACCUUCUACACCGUCAGACGACCAGCAGGACUUAGUCUCUGAGUACAACGCCAGCGGCAACAACGGACACUUACGGGACGCAGCGCGUGACGUUUACAAAUUAGCCUACAUAUCGUAGCCAGCCUGGCUAACAGUAGUCUCUCGUCCAGUGAGAGAUUUGGUUCUGGUGGCUGAGACGAGGCUCACAGCCUGGUGAAAAAGGUGGAUUGCGCCUCUCCCACCUCACAGACCGAGGAGAGAUAGGAAACGGCUUCUCAGGGCAGUAUCUUUAUAAUAGAGCCCAAGAGCUAUUCAUUUACAGGAAGUUUUUGCAAAUCAAAUAAUUUUUGUAAUGAUUCUGUCUGUUAAUCAUCUAAUUUUUCUUGUUCGAUGGUGGUCUUUGAGUUUUUAGGAUAUUGUUCCUUAUUGCCCCUGACUAUAAGGUAUUUAGUGUUCAGCAGAUUGCUCCUUAUUGCCCCUGACUAUAAGGUAUUUAGUGUUCAGCAGAUUGCUCCUUAUUGCCCCUGACUCCCAGGUAUUUAGUGUUCAGCAGAUUGUUCCUUAUUGCCCCUGACUAUAAGGUAUUUAGUGUUCAGCAGAUUGUUCCUUAUUGCCCCUGACUAUAAGGUAUUUAGUGUUCAGCAGAUUGUUCCUUAUUGCCCCUGACUCCCAGGUAUUUAGUGUUCAGCAGAUUGCUCCUUAUUGCCCCUGACUAUAAGGUAUUUAGUGUUCAGCAGAUUGUUCCUUAUUGCCCCUGACUCCCAGGUAUUUAGUGUUCAGCAGAUUGCUCCUUAUUGCCCCUGACUAUAAGGUAUUUAGUGUUCAGCAGAUUGCUCCUUAUUGCCCCUGACUCCAAGGUAUUUAGUGUUCAGCAGAUUGUUCCUUAUUGCCCCUGACUAUAAGGUAUUUAGUGUUCAGCAGAUUGUUCAUUAUUGCCCCUGAGUAUAAGGUAUUUAGUGUUCAGCAGAUUGCUUGACUUGACUUGUUAAUCGCUCCUGAAUCGUGUGAAUAGUCAAAUGUAAUGCUGAAGUAGUUGACAUUUAAAUAGAGGUGGAAGGGCUGAGGAAUGGAUAAGGUUUUAUAUAAACAGGGCUUAUUAUAUCUCACUGUAGUAUUCAGCUAAUAGGAGCCCUACUGUAGGUGUAAUUCAAUUAGAACUAUUAGGCCCCUCUCCUCUACCAAAUGAAAAGGAUUUUCUGCCCUGCAGCCUAUUGACAUGGAUUUCACACAGUGUACAAAACAUUAAGAACACCUGAUCUUUACAUAAGACUGACCAGGUGAAUCCAUGACAGACUGACCAGGUGAAUCCAUGACAUAGACUGACCAGGUGAAUCCAUGACAUAGACUGACCAGGUGAAUCCAUGACAUAGACUGACCAGGUGAAUGCAUGACAUAGACUGACCAGGUGAAUCCAUGACAUAGACUGACCAGGUGAAUGCAUGACAUAGACUGACCAGGUGAAUGCAUGACAUAGACUGACCAGGUGAAUCCAUGACAUAGACUGACCAGGUGAAUCCAUGACAUAGACUGACCAGGUGAAUGCAUGACAUAGACUGACCAGGUGAAUGCAUUACAUAGACUGACCAGGUGAAUCCAUGACAUAGACUGACCAGGUGAAUGCAUGACAUAGACUGACCAGGUGAAUCCAUGACAUAGACUGACCAGGUGAAAGCUAUGAUCCCUUAUUGAUGUCACUUGUUAAAUCCUCUUCAAUCAGUGUAGAUGAAGGUGGAGGAGACAGGUUAAAGAAGGAGUGUUAAUCCUUGAGACAUGGAUUGUGUGCCAUCCAGAGGGUGAAGGGUCAAGACAAAAUAUUGAAGUGCCUUUGAACGGGGUAUGGUAGUAGGCGCCAGUCGCACCAGUUUAAGUGUGUGAAGAAUUGCAACGCUGCUGAAUUUUUCAACAGUCUUCGUGUGUAUUAACAAUGGUCCACCAUCCAAAGGACAUUCAGCCAACUUGACACAACUGUGGGAAACAUUGGAGUCAACAUGGGCCACUAUCCCUGCGGAACGCUUUCCACACCUUGUAGAGUCAACAUGGGCCACUAUCCCUGUGGAACGCUUUCAACACCUUGUAGAGUCAACAUGGGCCAGCAUCCCUGCGGAACGCUUUCCACACCUUGUAGAGUCAACAUGGGCCACUAUCCCUGCGGAACGCUUUCCACACCUUGUAGAGUCCAUGCCCUGACGAAUUGAGGCUGUUCUGAGUGCAAAAGGGGAUUGCAACUCAAUAUUAAGAAAGUGUUCCUAAUGAUUUGUCCACUCAGUGGUUUUCUAUGCCGCUGCCUAACUGACAUCUGAUUUGGUAAGACUGAAAGAGACGUGAUUUAUAUUGAAAAAACCUAUUGUUUCUGAAUCCAUAUUGUUAAUCGUACUAGAAUGUGUGGGUUGGCAUGGCGAUAAUGUAUGUACAAGUAAUUAUAUGUCUGUUCCUCUGGACUGAAGGUUCCCAGAAGUUGCUUCAACAAACACCCAACCUUACAGCAAUGUUUUUUUUGUUUGUUAAUGAUGUAGAGUUCAUGCUUAGCCAACCAUGAGGCCCUUUGUCAACAUGUACAGACAGACUUACGUCCCAUGUACUCGUUGAUAUGAUCUGUUUAGCUUCACUCGCCUCCCAAAACAUAGUGAAAUAAGGUUCUUGGUGUGUUUCACAUCAACACUGUGGGGAAGAUUUGUAAAGGAGUUGAUGUAGUCAUUGAUUUAUGUUGCAUGAUGAAAGUCUCAGCCUUCAAGGGAUUUAUCAGAAACAGUAAUGCUGGAAGACUGUUCGUACCUGAAUCUUUCUGUGUACAGAUGUGUCUAUUGCAGCAGUUUGUACUGUAUAUAUAUAUAUUUGAUACCGUCUUUAAAAACCAAUUAUGUUUUGAAAUCUUUUAUAGAAGCUGAAUUUCAUGACUCCUCUUUGUAUUGCUUUAGGUGGUAGGAGUAUCAGUGUCCCUCUCCUCUCUGUUCAGGUGUCUCUCCCAGUGCUGACAGCCGUCUAUGGGAGGAUCUCAAUGGCCUUUCCUUUGAUUUCUAGCAUCCUCGCUUCCUUCUCAACACGCAUUGGAUGAAAUGGUCAGAUGGGGAGGGAACUCUUACCUUCUCAUCCAAUGGGUUUUAAGAAGGAGGUGAGAAGAGAGGAUGCGAAGAAUCAAGGAAAAGCAAUUGAGGUUCUCUCCAUGUCUCAACGGGCGUGGCCAGUCUGUUCACAGUUCCACAUAUCCUGUGGCUAGAAAUAUAACUAAAUGAACCAUAAUGUCCCAUA